AUGUUCACUUUGGCAGCACAUAUACUAAAAUUAGAACAAUACAGAAGAGAUUAGUGUGGCUCUUGUACAAGGAUGACACACAAAUUCAUGAAGCAUUCCAUAUUUUA
ensembl:snRNA U6 U6 spliceosomal RNA